AAAAAGCAAUCGACUUACAAAGGUGUGGAAAAUGGGCUCGAUAUUAAAUCGAGAAAAAUAUGAUUUUAAUAGUUUUAAAAUGGUUUUGAAUGAAUGAUGAAAUUAAAAGAAAACAAAUUUUCAUUAUUAACAAAUGAAACUAUGAGUAUAAUAAAGGCAUAAACAUAAAAAAGAAAUGAAAUAGCUAAAAGAAAAUAAAAUAGCUAAAAGAAAUAAAAUGCCAAAAAAAAUGCUACACAUGAGUAUUGAACCCUCUCCACUUAAGAUUAUGGAAC
rnacentral:lncRNA from 1 species